rnacentral:rRNA from 1 species
AAGUCGUAACAAGGUUUCCGUAGGUGAACCUGCGGAAGGAUCAUUACAGUAGUCAUCCGGGUUGCCGCAAGGCCUCCCGGGUAACCUACCACCCUUUGUUUAUUACACUUUGUUGCUUUGGCAGGCCUGCCCUCGGGCUGCUGGCUCCGGCCGGCGAGCGUCUGCCAGAGGACCUAAACUCUGUUUGUCUAUAAUGUCUGAGUACUAUAUAAUAGUUAAAACUUUCAACAACGGAUCUCUUGGUUCUGGCAUCGAUGAAGAACGCAGCGAAAUGCGAUAAGUAAUGUGAAUUGCAGAAUUCAGUGAAUCAUCGAAUCUUUGAACGCACAUUGCGCCCCCUGGUAUUCCGGGGGGCAUGCCUGUCCGAGCGUCAUUACAACCCUCAAGCUCAGCUUGGUGUUGGGCCCCGCCGCCCCGGCGGGCCCUAAAGUCAGUGGCGGUGCCGUCCGGCUCCGAGCGUAGUAAUUCUUCUCGCUCUGGAGGCCCGGUCGUGUGCUCGCCAGCAACCCCCAAUUUUUUUCAGGUUGACCUCGGAUCAGGUAGGGAUACCCGCUGAACUUAA